ensembl:snRNA U6 U6 spliceosomal RNA
GUGCUGCUUUGGCAACACAUAGACUAAAAUUGGAAUGAUACAAAUAAAAUUAGCAUGGUUCCUGCACAAAGAGGACACACAAGUUGGUGAAGCAGUCUUUAUUUUA